rnacentral:tRNA from 1 species
GGACUUGUAGCUCAACGGUAGAGCGCUUCGUUUACAUCGAAGAUGUUGGGGGUUCAAAUCCCUCCAAGUCCACAA